rnacentral:rRNA from 1 species
CCUACGGGUGGCAGCAGUGGGGAAUAUUGCACAAUGGGCGCAAGCCUGAUGCAGCCAUGCCGCGUGUAUGAAGAAGGCCCUAGGGUUGUAGAGUACUUUCAGUUGGGAGGAAGGCGUUGAUGCUAAUAUCAUCAACGAUUGACGUUACCAACAGAAGAAGCACCGGCUAACUCCGUGCCAGCAGCCGCGGUAAUACGGAGGGUGCAAGCGUUAAUCGGAAUUACUGGGCGUAAAGCGCACGCAGGCGGUUGAUUAAGUCAGAUGUGAAAUCCCCGGGCUUAACCUGGGAAUGGCAUCUAAGACUGGUCAGCUAGAGUCUUGUAGAGGGGGGUAGAAUUCCAUGUGUAGCGGUGAAAUGCGUAGAGACGUGGAGGAACACCGGUGGCGAAAGCGGCUCUCUGGACUGUGACUGACACUGAGGCUCGAAAGCGUGGGUAGCAAACAGGAUUAGAUACCCGUGUAGUC